GACGAACGCUGGCGGCGUGCUUAACACAUGCAAGUCGAACGGUGAUGCUCCAGCUUGCUGGAGUUGAUCAGUGGCGAAAGGGUGAGUAACACGUUAGCAACCUUCCCCAGACUCUGGUAUAAGCUCUGGAAACGGCGUCUACUACUGGAUACCAAACUAGCCCGCAUUGGCAUGGUGUGGUCAGUUUUUCGGUUUUGGAUGGGCUCGCGGCCUAUCAACUUGUUGGUUAGGUAAUGGCUCACCAAGGCGACGACGGGUAGCCGGCCUGAGAGGGAGACCGGCCACACUGGGACUGAGACACGGCCCAGACUCCUACGGGAGGCAGCAGUGGGGAAUAUUGCACAAUGGGCGAAAGCCUGAUGCAGCGACGCCGCGUGAGGGAUGACGGCCUUCGGGUUGUAAACAUCUUUCAGCAGGGAAGAAGCGAAAGUGACGGUACCUGCAGAAGAAGCACCGGCUAACUACGU
rnacentral:rRNA from 1 species